rnacentral:rRNA from 1 species
GACGAACGCUGGCGGCGUGCUUAACACAUGCAGGUCGAACGGACAGACAGAGAGCUUGCUCUCUUGAAGUUAGUGGCGAACGGGUGAGUAACGCGUAAUCAACCUGCCCUUCAGAGGGGGAUAACAACGGGAAACCGUUGCUAAUACCGCGUACGAUUCAUGAACGGCAUCGUUUAUGAAUGAAAGGUGGCCUCUAUGUAUAAGCUAUCGCUGAAGGAGGGGAUUGCGUCUGAUUAGCUAGUUGGAGGGGUAACGGCCCACCAAGGCAAUGAUCAGUAGCCGGUCUGAGAGGAUGAACGGCCACAUUGGGACUGAGACACGGGCCAAAAUCCUACGGGAGGCAGCAGUGGGGAAUCUUCCGCAAUGGACGAAAGUCUGACGGAGCAACGCCGCGUGAGUGAUGAAGGUCUUCGGAUUGUAAAGCUCUGUUAAUCGGGACGAAAGAGUUCUGCGUGAAUAAUGCAGAAAAGUGACGGUACCGGAAUAGGAAGCCACGGCUAACUACGUGCCAGCCGCCGCAGUAA